ensembl:lncRNA
UUAGAUUGCACAAGUAUUUUUUUAUUACAGCACUUUUUCCCCAAGACGUGACUCAUACAAUUGUAUGCACACUACAGCAAUGCCUACAUGUUGACAAACAAAACAUGAAUACACUGAUCCCAUACAAUUCCAAGACACCAUUUACAAGCGCAGCACCCACGUACUCCAUACAAUUCCAAGACACCGUUUACAGGCGCAGCACCCGCGUACUCCGUACAAUUCCAAGACACUGUUUACAGGCGCAGCACCCGCGUACUCCAUACAAUUCCAAGACACCGUUUACAGGCGCAGCACCCGCGUACUCCAUACAUUUUAAGACAUGGUUUACACAUAACACAUAUGUCAGACUCACAAGACAAAGGUCACAAAGCCUCCACAUCCCAUAAAUGACCUUACAUUUACACUAACAUUGUGUACUGCAACCCACCUCAACAGCAGAGCAGGUCUCAGCCCACCUGAAGUAAAUGCAAGCCUCAGACUGGCCGGGAAGGAGUGCAAAUGGGCUCUGAUGGCCUUGGGCAUUGGUUACGGGGUUGGGUUAGCCCUGCGGUACAAACAAACAAAGCAAAGCUAACCCAACCCCGUAAGCAAGGCAAAGCUAAAGCCAAUUUGGCUGACAUCAAUUGAUUGCAAAGCUAAAGCCAAUUUGGCUGAGAUCAAUUGACUGCAAAGCUAUAGCCAAUUUGGUUGAGAUCAAUUGAUUGCAAAGCUAAAGCCAAUUUGGGCAAGAUAAAUUGACUGCACCUGCCAAAAUCAGCGCAACUCACAGAAUGGCCGCAAAGGGGCGCGAGUCUCAGACUGGCCGGGAAGGAGCGCAAAUGGGCUCCGAUGGCCUCGGGCAUUGGUUACGGGGUUGGGUUAGCCCUGCGGUACAAACAAACAAAGCAAAGCUAACCCAACCCCGUAAGCAAGGCAAAGUUAAAGCCAAUUUGGCUGACAUCAAUUGAUUGCAAAGCUAAAGCCAAUUUGGCUGAGAUCAAUUGACUGCAAAGCUAUAGCCAAUUUGGUUGAGAUCAAUUGAUUGCAAUGCUAAAGCCAAUUUGGGCAAGAUAAAUUGACUGCACCUGCCAAAAUCAGCGCAACUCACAGAAUGGCCGCAAAGGGGCGCGAGUCUCAGACUGGCCGGGAAGGAGCGCAAAUGGGCUCCAAUGGCCUCGGGCAUUGGUUACGGGGUUGGGUUAGCCCUGCGGUACAAACAAACAAAGCAAAGCUAACCCAACCCCGUAAGCAAGGCAAAGCUAAAGCCAAUUUGGCUGACAUCAAUUGAUUGCAAAGCUAAAGCCAAUUUGGCUGAGAUCAAUUGAUUGCAAAGCUAAAGCCAAUUUGGGCAAGAUCAAUUGAUUGCAAAGCUAAAGCCAAUUUGGGCAAGAUAAAUUGACUGCACCUGCCAAAAUCAAUGCAACUCACAGAAUGGCCGCAAAGGGGCGCGAGUCUCAGACUGGCCGGGAAGGAGCGCAAAUGGGCUCCGAUGGCCUCGGGCAUUGGUUACGGGGUUGGGUUAGCCCUGCGGUACAAACAAACAAAGCAAAGCUAACCCAACCCCGUAAGCAAGGCAAAGCUAAAGCCAACUUAUUUGCAAUGCAUUAACUGCAAAGCUAAAGCCAAUUUGGUUGAGAUAAAUUAUUUGUAAAGCUAAAGCCAAUUGGUUUGAUGCAAAAUAACUGCACACGCUGAAAUUGGUGUGACUCUCAGCAUGGCCGUGAGUCUCAAACAGCCUGGAUGGAGUGUGAAUGGUCUCUGUCCAGCUACAGGAUGUCAGUUACGGGAUUAGGGUCAGCCACGCUAGCAAACUCAAAGCGAAGGUGACCCAAACCCUUUGAUGUGCUAUCCCUUGAAAUUCUCUGAAAGAUUGCAGCCGGCUGCUUGGACGGGUACAUUGCUUGCUAGAUGAAGAACUAGCUGAACCUCCUGGCCUCAUGAGUGCUGCUCGAUCGUGUUAAAUGCAGCUGGUAUGCCAUCCUGAGUGCUCUGCAGGCCUGUUCUGUCCAAUAUCGUCAUUGAUGACCUGCCUGACGGCAUGGAGUGCACCCUUGGUAAGUUUGCUGAGGGCGUUGCAUCAGAUUAGCACUAUGUUUGGAGUUCAGAGCUCAUUAGGGUUGGGGUGAAGGUAUUAGGGUUAGGUUUAUUAGGGUUAUCCUCAAAGUGACUGUUAGGGAAGGCCAAGGCAAAGGCAACAACACCCAAGGGAACACCAAAACUGAGGGCAAAGGCAUAGACAACAACCAAGGGAAGGCAACGUCAAAGGCAAAGGGAAAGCAAAGGUAUGGAGAACACCUCCUCAGAGGGCAGGCCCAAAGAGAGGGCCUCAGAGAACAAAACAGACCAAAGAGAACACCGUGGCAAGGCCAAAAUGGAGGGCGAGGUCCAUGAGAACGCUGCAGGGAAAGCCGAUGCAGGAGGCCAAGGGCAAUGGCCAAAGAGAAUGCAGCACAGAAGGCCAAAACCAAAGGCCAAAGAGAAUGCUGUAGGGAAUGCCAAAACAAGAAGGCCAAAGGCAAAGGCCAAACAGAACGCAACAGGGAAUGCCAAAACCAAAGGCCAAAGAGAUCGUCACAGAGAAUGCCACAACAGGAGGCUGAAAGGAGCACGGCAAAGAAGGCCAAGGGCAAAGGUCAAAGAGAACAUGGAAGGGAACGCCAAAGAGAAUGUGGCAAAGGUGGCCAAGCGCAAUGGCCAGGAGAAUGUGGCAUGGAUGGCGAAAACAUAAGGCCAAAUAGAACACUGCAUGGAACACCAGAAGUGAUGGCCAAAGAGAACGAUGCAGGGAAUGCCAAAACCGGAGGCCAAAGAGAAUGCCACAAAGAAGGCCAAGGGCAAUGGCCAAGAGAACAUGACAUGGAAUGCAAAAACACGAGGGCAAGAGAAUGCAGUAGGGAAUGCCAAGGGCAAAGGGAAGGAGAACACCGCAGUGAAAGGCCAGAGCCAAGGAGAACGUGCAAAGAAUAGGACAGGCAGCCUUCGGGGCACCCUGAAGUGCAGAAAGGAGCUCUGGGAACCCUACCUUGUGUCUCACUCAGUAAGGGGUAAACACUGGUGGGUGUGCAUUGUCCUUACCUGCUGGGCAGACAAUUACCAGUCAGCAAAGUGGGGUUCCAGGGCAUCCCAGGAAAUGCAGCUUUCGGUUCCUUGCUGUUCCCGUGAAGACCCGCACAUCUCUCCGUGCAGUCGUUACAGAACCCGGGAGUGCUGCAGCUCUCUGCUGCCACCUGUUAAACACAAUGCAGUAAUGAAGGCGCCGCCCCGCAUAUGUAGGGCUGCACCCUGUGUGCAUUGCUCUAUAGGAUGACACAAGGGAGUAUUGCGAAUAUAAUGAAUGCUAUGCAUAGGUUUGAAGUUACAAUUAGCUUAACAAUUGUUUUCCACACUAUGAUUAGGAUUAAGGGUACUGUGACAGAAAACAAGCGGCAUUAUUUUUAUUGCAGCAUUUAGGUUAAGAGACGUUUUUAAUAUUAGCUUAAUAGUUAGGUUUACAUAUACA